rnacentral:rRNA from 1 species
UCUAGCCUGCCCACUGAAAAUUGAAGGGCCGCGGUAUUUUGACCGUGCAAAGGUAGCAUAAUCAUUAGUCUUCUAAUUAAAGGCUGGAAUGAAUGGUUGGACGAGGUACGAGCUGUCUCACUAGAAUUAUUUUGGAACUUAACUUCUCAGUCAAAAGGCUGAGAUAGUGUUGGAGGACGAGAAGACCCUAUAGAUCUUUAUACCGGAGAUAUUUAACUUACGCAGAGCGAAUUGUAGUUUAAUAGUAAAGGUAUUUCGUUGGGGUGACGGGGAGAUAAAUAAACUCUCUUAGAAGAGGUCCAUUAAUUUAUGAAUUGUUGAUCCAUUAAUAGUGAUUAUAAGACUAAGUUACCUUAGGGAUAACAGCGUAAUCCUUUUCGAGAGUUCCUAUCGACAAAGGGGGUUGCGACCUCGAUGUUGGAUUAAGGGUAAUUUUGGGUGUAGAAGUUCAAAGUUUUGGGUCUGUUCGGACCCAUGAAUCCCUUACAUGAUC